GAAAUGCGAUAAGUAGUGUGAAUUGCAGGAUUCAGUGAAUCAUCGAAUCUUUGAACGCACAUUGCGCCCCUUGGUAUUCCAUGGGGCAUGCCUGUUCGAGCGUCAUUUGUACCCUCAAGCUCUGCUUGGUGUUGGGUGUUUGUCCCCGUCUCCGCGCGUGGACUCGCCCCAAAGUGAUUGGCAGCCGGCGUACUGGUCCCGGAGCGCAGCACAUGUCGCGCAAACGAGUGCCUUGGUACGGCGGCGUCCAUAAGCCCCUCUCUCACGCUCUUGACCUCGGAUCAGGUAGGGAUACCCGCUGAACUUAAGC
rnacentral:misc_RNA from 1 species